rnacentral:misc_RNA from 1 species
AACGCACCUUGCGCCCUUUGGCUAUUCCGAAGGGCAUGCCUGUUUGAGUAUCAUGAACACCUCAACUCCUCAUGGCUUGCCAUGAUGAGCUUGGACUUUGGGGGUCUUGCUGGCUUCAGUAGUCAGCUCCCCUCAAAUGAAUCAGCUUUCCAGUGUUUGGUGGGCGCCAUAGGUGUGAUAAUUAUCUACGCUUGUGGUUUCCUGUCAGGUAACCUUCAGUGAUGGAGGUUCGCUGGAGCUCAUAGACGUCUCUUUGGAGACAGCUUUGUGAACAUUUGAUCUCAAAUCAGGUAGGACUACCCGCUGAACUUAA